rnacentral:rRNA from 1 species
UUAAGCGACUAAGCGUACACGGUGGAUGCCCUGGCAGUCAGAGGCGAUGAAGGACGUGCUAAUCUGCGAAAAGCGUCGGUAAGGUGAUAUGAACCGUUACAGCCGGCGAUGUCCGAAUGGGGAAACCCAGUGUGAUUCGUCACACUAUCGUUAACUGAAUACAUAGGUUAACGAGGCGAACCGGGGGAACUGAAACAUCUAAGUACCCCGAGGAAAAGAAAUCAACCGAGAUUCCCCCAGUAGCGGCGAGCGAACGGGGAGCAGCCCAGAGUCUGAAUCAGCUUGUGUGUUAGUGGAACGGUCUGGAAAGUCCGACGGUACAGGGUGAUAGUCCCGUACACCAAAAUGCACAGGCUGUGAACUCGAAGAGUAGGGCGGGACACGUGGUAUCCUGUCUGAAUAUGGGGGGACCAUCCUCCAAGGCUAAAUACUCCUGACUGACCGAUAGUGAACCAGUACCGUGAGGGAAAGGCGAAAAGAACCCCGGCGAGGGGAGUGAAAAAGAACCUGAAACCGUGUACGUACAAGCAGUGGGAGCACCUUCGGGUGUGACUGCGUACCUUUUGUAUAAUGGGUCAGCGACUUAUAUUCUGUAGCAAGGUUAACCGUAUAGGGGAGCCGCAGGGAAACCGAGUCUUAACUGGGCGUUAAGUUGCAGGGUAUAGACCCGAAACCCGGUGAUCUAGCCAUGGGCAGGUUGAAGGUUGGGUAACACUAACUGGAGGACCGAACCGACUAAUGUUGAAAAAUUAGCGGAUGACUUGUGGCUGGGGGUGAAAGGCCAAUCAAACCGGGAGAUAGCUGGUUCUCCCCGAAAGCUAUUUAGGUAGCGCCUCGUGAAUUCAUCUUCGGGGGUAGAGCACUGUUUCGGCUAGGGGGUCAUCCCGACUUACCAACCCGAUGCAAACUACGAAUACCGAAGAAUGUUAUCACGGGAGACACACGGCGGGUGCUAACGUCCGUCGUGAAGAGGGAAACAACCCAGACCGCCAGCUAAGGUCCCAAAGUCACAGUUAAGUGGGAAACGAUGUGGGAAGGCACAGACAGCCAGGAUGUUGGCUUAGAAGCAGCCAUCAUUUAAAGAAAGCGUAAUAGCUCACUGGUCGAGUCGGCCUGCGCGGAAGAUGUAACGGGGCUAAACUGUGCACCGAAGCUGCGGCAGCGACACUAUGUGUUGUUGGGUAGGGGAGCGUUCUGUAAGCCUGCGAAGGUGGCCUGUGAGGGUUGCUGGAGGUAUCAGAAGUGCGAAUGCUGACAUAAGUAACGAUAAUGCGGGUGAAAAGCCCGCACGCCGGAAGACCAAGGGUUCCUGUCCAACGUUAAUCGGGGCAGGGUGAGUCGACCCCUAAGGCGAGGCCGAAAGGCGUAGUCGAUGGGAAACAGGUUAAUAUUCCUGUACUUGGUGUUACUGCGAAGGGGGGACGGAGAAGGCUAUGUUAGCCGGGCGACGGUUGUCCCGGUUUAAGCAUGUAGGCGGAGGUUCCAGGUAAAUCCGGUACCUUUUUAACGCUGAGGUGUGAUGACGAGGCACUACGGUGCUGAAGUAACAAAUGCCCUGCUUCCAGGAAAAGCCUCUAAGCAUCAGGUAACAUUGAAUCGUACCCCAAACCGACACAGGUGGUCAGGUAGAGAAUACCAAGGCGCUUGAGAGAACUCGGGUGAAGGAACUAGGCAAAAUGGUGCCGUAACUUCGGGAGAAGGCACGCUGAUAUGUAGGUGAAGCCCCUGCGGGUGGAGCUGAAAUCAGUCGAAGAUACCAGCUGGCUGCAACUGUUUAUUAAAAACACAGCACUGUGCAAACACGAAAGUGGACGUAUACGGUGUGACGCCUGCCCGGUGCCGGAAGGUUAAUUGAUGGGGUUAUCCGUAAGGAGAAGCUCUUGAUCGAAGCCCCGGUAAACGGCGGCCGUAACUAUAACGGUCCUAAGGUAGCGAAAUUCCUUGUCGGGUAAGUUCCGACCUGCACGAAUGGCGUAAUGAUGGCCAGGCUGUCUCCACCCGAGACUCAGUGAAAUUGAACUCGCUGUGAAGAUGCAGUGUACCCGCGGCAAGACGGAAAGACCCCGUGAACCUUUACUAUAGCUUGACACUGAACAUUGAGCCUUGAUGUGUAGGAUAGGUGGGAGGCUUUGAAGCGUGGACGCCAGUCUGCGUGGAGCCAACCUUGAAAUACCACCCUUUAAUGUUUGAUGUUCUAACGUUGGCCCGUUAUCGGGGUUGCGGACAGUGUCUGGUGGGUAGUUUGACUGGGGCGGUCUCCUCCCAAAGAGUAACGGAGGAGCACGAAGGUUAGCUAAUCCUGGUCGGACAUCAGGAGGUUAGUGCAAUGGCAUAAGCUAGCUUGACUGCGAGCGUGACGGCGCGAGCAGGUGCGAAAGCAGGUCAUAGUGAUCCGGUGGUUCUGAAUGGAAGGGCCAUCGCUCAACGGAUAAAAGGUACUCCGGGGAUAACAGGCUGAUACCGCCCAAGAGUUCAUAUCGACGGCGGUGUUUGGCACCUCGAUGUCGGCUCAUCACAUCCUGGGGCUGAAGUAGGUCCCAAGGGUAUGGCUGUUCGCCAUUUAAAGUGGUACGCGAGCUGGGUUUAGAACGUCGUGAGACAGUUCGGUCCCUAUCUGCCGUGGGCGCUGGAGAAUUGAGGGGGGCUGCUCCUAGUACGAGAGGACCGGAGUGGACGCAUCACUGGUGUUCGGGUUGUCAUGCCAAUGGCAUUGCCCGGUAGCUAAAUGCGGAAGAGAUAAGUGCUGAAAGCAUCUAAGCACGAAACUUGCCCCGAGAUGAGUUCUCCCUGA